AGGUAGAUGGCUUGAUCGGUGCUGGUCUCCGGAGCCGUGUGCGCAGGUUCGAAUCCUGCAGGGG
rnacentral:tRNA from 1 species